GAAGGAUCUGAUGUCCGGUGAUAGUAAGUUCACUUCCUGUGCCAAAGAGUGGCUGAAUUUCACAAUAUGGCAUCGCCGAAUAUACCCACGAUGUGUGGGCAGUGGAUCUGCUAUGUCUGUAUGUACAGUAGGCUACAUGUACAUCACUACAUGCACUACCGGCGCAUGUAAACAAGGCAGUCCAGCCGGCCGACCUCACCUGUGGCGGUUUUUAUAGAUAGUAAACGUCUCAAUGCUGCAAGAAAACGCAAACCAGACACUUCAGCUGAGACCCAGAUUUCUUCACCGAAAAAGCUCCGGGCAAAGUUCAAGUUUCUUUUAAUUGCCUAUCCACAUAAAUUGUGUCAUGCUGCACACAAACUCAACCAGGAUUUUGAUUUCGAUGAAAAGCUCAGUUCAAGGACAAGCUGCAACAGAACAACAAGCAGAACUUCCGUUGGAGGAUGAACGUCGGGAAAAGGGAGAUGUUCUGCGACUGACCACGAUCAACAACUAUAGUUUCAUGAGAAUGUCCCAGCUUGCUGAACUGUUGGAAUCAUGAGAUGAUUUAGAAGCCGAAGGAACUGGCCUUGGAUCUUUAUAUCGAACUGAUAAGUUGACAUAUCGGCUUAGAAGAGAAUAUCCACAGGUCUCUUUCCUUGAAUAUAUGCGACAUCAUCUACACCGCUACUUUAUCUGCUGGAGGUGUGGUUGAAUCUCUGGCGACUUCAGAGGAGGAUUCAAAACUGCAACUUUGGCUUAGAAAGCAAGACAUACGCUCCAUCCUGUUGUUAUGCCGUUACUGCACAAGAUUUGAUGAGAACUUUGAUGUAGUGAUAACAUUUACUUGAAGUUGUAUCAGCACGACUAGUUAGCAUUUGACAUUUUAAUGAAAAUAAUGAGUAACUUCUAGAUUUCAAAACUACAUGAUUGUAUCCUUCUGUUUAUUAGUGUUGGUUUUAUUCAUUUUUAUUCUUUUCAUUAAUUAAAAAUUAGUACCAGUAGAAAAGCAAAUUCUGUGAAUUUUAACAGUGAGACUAGCCACAUAUGACAAGCCAAAUCACUCUCUUUAAUGUGUUAGCAUACAAA